CUCGUGGCUUUUCCUCAAGUUGAGCAUGAUGCUUGCCGCCAUAUUGAUCCAUAGUUGUUUGUUGAUACUAGCUACCUGCCAAGCACAGAUAGCUCCGAUCGUUCUGACCGAAGGAACCCAACCACAGCGGAACGUUGCUCCCUUUCAACCAAUGUCAUUAGAUCCAUUCACUACUCUAAUGAUGGCUCCUGCAAACAUGGCGCAAGCCCUCGCGCGCUUACUGCAGGGAGGCGUCACUGGACGCUAAUGCAUUCAUUUGCUAUCAUUCAUCACCACGACCAGGAGGAUGUAUCCAACUUCGUAAAAUAUUCAGCGAUGGCGCCAACGGGAACGCGUUAAGACAUGCGCUCUACUAGUUCACGGUCAUUUUAUCUAUUAUAUAUCAUGAGCGUCGUUCUACGUAAUACGUUCAUUUCCGCAUUGUCGCUUGUAUGGUAAAUGUGAUAGCAAAUCACUGAAAAUAUAUCAUAAAAAUAGUCGUGUAUUUGGGUAUUUGUAUGUUUCGGAAAAUACAACGGUUCUAUAUUUUCUGAAUGUUUCUGCAUUCGGAUGCAAUGAAAA